UGUAAAAGGCUGGAUCGCGGAUAGCGAGCGCGAGCGUGAAGAAACCGGCCGCCAUCUUACGGUGCCCACAACAGUCGCCGCAGCGAUCAUGGCAACUUCUUGCAAUUACGGUCGUACCAACCGUACUGGCAAGGUUACAGGGCCUAAAUUUAUACAGGUUUCGUCAUGAGGGCUGCCCAGUGAAUAAUCUGUGCAGUGUGAUACGGCUGGAUGUACAGGUUACUUCACAGCUGCCUCGACAUACUCAAGAAAUGGGUGCAGAACCUGCGUAAUGCCCACAAACUUUGAUUACCGCAGCACCUCCAGAAAGUAUGUGUCACAUGGGAUUUUUAAAUGUAUUCACAGUAUAUAAUACCUUGUAUUAACUGUUGUAGAUCUAAGCCGUCUCUACAGUACACUCUCAGAAAUUAAAUCCGUGAGAAUCGUGAUAAUUGUUUCAGUUAAUAGGCAUGCACAUAUAUGCUAUAAGAAGAAAAUUAUUUCUUGAGAAUGCACUUCUCUGGCUACUGGUGUUGUUUACAUGUACUGUUGAUCACAUUCAUUUAUCACAUAUUAUAUUCUUAUAUAUAUUAUUAUAUUAACACAUAUUUGAUCACAUUAAAUUCAAAAUUCA